CUGAUGACCUUAUUAAAUUAUCUUCUUAAAUUGCUGUCAAGUUUUGUUGAUUGCUUGAUUACUACUUUUGCAGGAGUCAAGCAAGAGUAUCCAGAUAGAAGCAUUCCAUGUUUUCAAGUUAUUUGCUGCAAACCAGAACAAGCCUCCAGAUAUUGUUAGCAUCCUUGUCGCUAGCAGAAGCAAGCUCCUGCGCCUCUUUGCUGAUUUUAAGACUGACAAAGAUACGUACACAGUAGAUAUCGAUUAAGAAUAGAGGAUAAGCAGUUUGAGGCUGAGAAAACGCAGGUUGUCAAAGAAAUUGCAGCUCUUGAAACCAAGGAACUCUCUUGAACUCAGACUAGGUAGUUCCUCAACUAUCAGGUGAUGUUGUUGUAUGUGUAAAUGAAAGAGGGUGUUUUCUCACUGGACGAUAUUUUACUGAAUUAUUAGUCUUAAUUCUUGAAAUAACUAUUUAAAUGUCGCCUUAUUUUUCGUGGUUGUUUGUCACUUGUCCUUGUUCCUGAUCGCCAUGAUCUAUCCAAGAACUUAUCAGAGUCUGCUGCUCCUCUUUGAAGGAUAUGGAGAAUAUAAGCGUCUGUUCUGAUUCCUGAACUUCUU